rnacentral:rRNA from 1 species
GGCGAACGGGUGAGUAAUAUAUCGGAACGUACCCAAGAGUGGGGGAUAACGUAGCGAAAGUUACGCUAAUACCGCGUACGAUCUAAGGAUGAAAGCAGGGGAUCUUCGGACCUUGUGCUCCUGGAGCGGCCGAUAUCUGAUUAGCUAGUUGGUGAGGUAAAGGCUCACCAAGGCUACGAUCAGUAGCUGGUCUGAGAGGACGACCAGCCACACUGGAACUGAGACACGGUCCAGACUCCUACGGGAGGCAGCAGUGGGGAAUUUUGGACAAUGGGCGAAAGCCUGAUCCAGCAAUGCCGCGUGAGUGAAGAAGGCCUUCGGGUUGUAAAGCUCUUUUGUCAGGGAAGAAACGGUGAGGGCUAAUAUCCUUCGCUAAUGACGGUACCUGAAGAAUAAGCACCGGCUAACUACGUGCCAGCAGCCGCGGUAAUACGUAGGGUGCAAGCGUUAAUCGGAAUUACUGGGCGUAAAGCGUGCGCAGGCGGUUUUGUAAGUCUGACGUGAAAUCCCCGGGCUCAACCUGGGAAUUGCGUUGGAGACUGCAAGGCUAGAAUCUGGCAGAGGGGGGUAGAAUUCCACGUGUAGCAGUGAAAUGCGUAGAGAUGUGGAGGAACACCGAUGGCGAAGGCAGCCCCCUGGGUCAAG